CCCUUAGAUGUUCGGAGCUGCGCGCGCGCUACACUGAAGGAAGCAGCGUGUUAGAUCACCUGACUUGAAAAAGUUGGGUAAUCCGGUGAAUGUCCUUCGUGAUUGGGAUAGGCACUUGUAAUUAUUUGCCUUGAACGAGGAAUACCUAGUAAGUGCGAGUCAUCAGCUUGCGCUGAUUACGUCCCUGCCCUUUGUACACACCGCCCGUCGCACCUACCGAUUGGAUGGUCCGGUGAAGCCUCGGGAUUGUGGUUCUUGCCGCUUUAUUGUGGCGUGACCGCGAGAACUUGUCUAAACCUUAUCAUCUAGAGGGAGGUGAAGUCGUAACA
rnacentral:rRNA from 1 species